CCUGGAGUGAGGGCGGCGGAGUGGUGUGCGGAUGGGCUCGGUGCGAGCGGGCUACUUCUCCUGCAGGAGCGCCCGGAGCUUCCGCCGGCGUCUGCAGCGAGGGUUUGGGAACAACGCCUUCAAGUUGAACCGGUCCGCAGGUUCAGCGAAGCCGUGCAGUUGGAAAGGGACGGGGUUGCACGAUGGGUACUUUUCUAGGCUUAGAGGAGUUGUUUCUGUAUAGAAAAGCAGGUUCAAGUGACUUCUUUUCUUUUCCUCACGAGUUGUCCGAUAAGGUCCGAUUUAGUUGGAUUGCAGUAGCAUCUAGAGGCCACUCUUGCAUGUGCACGCGUCUGGUGCAAAGGGAGCGUAUGCUGCAGACGUUCGGUGCUCGGUGUCUGAAACGGCUCGGUGUUCUCACAUGCUCGUUGAAAGACUUCUUAGAGAGAUUACUAACAGCUGAACGUGCCGGCUGCACCUCCAGCAGCACUUGAAGCUUCUAACGAAGGACCCACCGUAUUUAAAGCACUCCCUGUACUUCUCAGGUUGGGAAUACACUGCAUCUCUUAGUGCAAUGGAUGCUUUGAAGGAAGUGUUGUCUGCGACCACAAUUAUUGGUAUCUUAAUGACAAAAAAAAGAGCUUUGGCAACCAAGAAUCACUAACAGUUUUCCAAAUGGUGCUGUGCCCACAGUGCAAUGGGGAACACACACUCUCCAGAGGAGAUGCUUAGGGCUGGAGCAUUAACUGGACAAAAUGGAUAAAGAAAGACCCCCAAAACACAGGAUAGAACUUGCAGUAUUUGCUGAACUGUGAAGAAUUUGGAUACAUUCAGUUAAUGAAAGUUUUUGCUUGAAGUUUUGGUUUCAGGAGCAGGGAGAAGGCACAGGAGGAUGCACAGCUCCAAGGGGACCUGUGAAGGAGCUGAGAAGUGAGAAGACCGAAAGACAAGGACGCCCCACACACCAGCCCCUGUGCCACCCCUUGCUGCACAAAGAGAGGAAAAAGCCCACCAGGCUGGUGGUUCCUACUGUUUUGUCGAUGGGAGUAAUGGAUGUCAUGU
ensembl:lncRNA